rnacentral:rRNA from 1 species
AUACGGAGGGUGCAAGCGUUACUCGGAAUCACUGGGCGUAAAGCGUACGUAGGCGGUUGGUUAAGUUAGAUGUGAAAGCCCCGGGCUUAACCUGGGAACUGCAUUUAAAACUGGCGAACUAGAGUUGAGUAGAGGGGAGUGGAAUUUCAGGUGUAGCGGUGAAAUGCGUAGAGAUCUGAAGGAACACCAGUGGCGAAGGCGACUCCCUGGACUCGAACUGACGCUGAGGUACGAAAGCGUGGGUAGCAAACGGGAUUAGAAACCCCAGUAGUCC